CUGAGCUGACACUGCAAACCUGCAUGGGUGGGCUUUGGGCUCCAAGCAGGGGCCUUUGCCUGGGGAUCACUCCCCAACCACCACCUGGUCUCCCAGCCCUGCGGGCAGAAUGGGCUCCAGGGUAGCUCUCAGAACAACAGAGCCCUCUCCUCUCCCCUCUGCAGAUGGAACCCCCGGCAUCUGCUCCUAGUAGAGGCCAGUCUGGGCCUGACCUGGCAUUCCACCCUGCAGAUAGCGAGGUUCACUGGGGAGGAUUCUUCUCCCUAAAUACUGAGGCCUGAGUAGGAAAUUAUCCUCCCAGAACAUAGCAGGGUCCGGAAGAAGACAUUUUCCAAGGAGGCAGAACUGGGGGAGAAGCUGGAGUGAGACUGCACAGAGGAAGGUUUUUUAUUCCAAGGAUGACAAUUGUGGGAGCCCUGAUAACCACAAGAUAUGCUAUAACGGGGCAAGAGAAAAGAGGGCCUUUCAAGUAUCCUGGAGGCGACUUGCCUUCACCUUGAGUUCAGCCAAAGAAGAAUGCACCACUUCUCCUAUUCCCAAGGGUCACUCCGUGAAUAUUGGUUGAAUUUGUGAGUGAGCGAGUGAAUGGGUGGGUAAAUGAAAAAUACAAAAACAAAAAGGUCAGGCUUCCCACCUGGAGCACACAGGGACCAGCACAGGACUCAAUGGCUAUGUGAAUGCAGGAACUGCCACAUCCCUUUAGGAAAUGAAACAAUUUGAAACAAUCUGAGUAUACUGUUUCAAUGGCUUUUCCUAAAAUCCAUUCAUCAACCAGCAG
rnacentral:lncRNA from 1 species